CGCAUCUGUGCAUGCAGCAUAUCAAUAAGCGGAGGAAAAGAAACUAACAAGGAUUCCCUUAGUAACGGCGAGUGAAGCGGGAAGAGCUCAAAUUUGAAAUCUUCAAGGUUUUACCUUGACGAAUUGUAGUUUAAAGAAGUGUUUUCUGUUGAAGUUUUGGUAAAAGUUCUUUGGAAUAGGACAUCAUAGAGGGUGAGAAUCCCGUAUUUGACCAUUAUUUUCAGCUGUGUGAUACACUUUCAAAGAGUCGGAUUGUUUGGGAAUGCAGUCCAAAAUGGGUGGUAAAUUUCAUCUAAGGCUAAAUAUUGGCGAGAGACCGAUAGCGAACAAGUACCGUGAGGGAAAGAUGAAAAGAACUUUGAAAAGAGAGUUAAACAGUACGUGAAAUUGUCAAAAGGGAAGCGUUUGACACCAGUGUUGUUUUCUCGAAAAUCAAUUAAAAAGAGUUUGAUUUUGUUGUGUAUUGACCUUAACAGCUUGCGUUUCAAUUUUCUUGCUUUUUUUAAUGCACUUUUCGUUUAACAAGUCAACAUCAGUUUCUUUUGUUGUAAAAAGGUCAUUGGAAGGUGGCUUUCUUUUCGGAGAAAGUGUUUAUAGCCUUUGACUCCUGCAAUCGGAGAGACUGAGGUCUGCAGCGUAGAUCCUUCGGGGUUAGAUACAUUUGUGCUAAGUUAUAGCUUUUUAUAGACAACUUGUUGACUAUGAUUAGUCUUGUAGCUUACUCGCUUAUGCUAUUUUACCUACGCUUAGGAUGUUGAUGUGAUACUGCGAGCA
rnacentral:rRNA from 1 species